rnacentral:rRNA from 1 species
AUACGUAGGUCCCGAGCGUUGCGCGGAGUCACUGGGCGUAAAGCGUCCGCAGCCGGCUCCGUAAGCGGGAUGUCAAAGCCCACGGCUCAACCGUGGAACGGCAUCCUGAACUGCGGAGCUUGAGGCACGCUCAGGCAGGCGGAAUUCCCGGGGUAGCGGUGAAAUGCGUAGAUCUCGGGAGGAACACCGAAGGGGAAGCCAGCCUGCUGGAGCUGUCCUGACGGUCAGGGACGAAAGCCAGGGAAGCGAACCGGAUUAGAUACCCUAGUAGUCC